rnacentral:rRNA from 1 species
AUUGAACGCUGGCGGCAUGCCUUACACAUGCAAGUCGAACGGCAGCACGGGUGCUUGCACCUGGUGGCGAGUGGCGAACGGGUGAGUAAUACAUCGGAGCGUACCUUAUCGUGGGGGAUAACGCAGCGAAAGCUGUGCUAAUACCGCAUACGCCCUGAGGGGGAAAGCGGGGGAUCGAAAGACCUCGCGCGAUUAGAGCGGCCGAUGCCUGAUUAGCUUGUUGGUGGGGUAAAAGCCCACCAAGGCGACGAUAAGUAGCUGGUCUGAGAGGACGAUCAGCCACACUGGGACUGAGACACGGCCCAGACUCCUGCGGGAGGCAGCAGUGGGGAAUUUUGGACAAUGGGGGCAACCCUGAUCCAGCAAUGCCGCGUGAGUGAAGAAGGCCUUCGGGUUGUAAAGCUCUUUUGUCAGGGAAGAAACAGCAGCUCUAACACAGUAUGCGAAUGACGGUACCUGAAGAAUAAGCACCGGCUAACUACGUGCCAGCAGCCGCCGUAA